AGAGUUUGAUCCUGGCUCAGAACGAACGCUGGCGGCGUGCUUAACACAUGCAAGUCGAGUGCGCGUACCGUAGCAAUACGGUAUGGCGCACGGCGCACGGGUGCGUAACACGUGGGCAAUCUGCCCUUCGAUGGGGAAUAACUUCGGGAAACCGAAGCUAAUUCCGCAUAACAUUCCUUGGAUUUCGGUUCGAGGACUCAAAGCCGUAAGGCGUCGAAGGAGGAGCCCGCGCCCGAUUAGCUAGUUGGUGAGGUAAUGGCUCACCAAGGCAAUGAUCGGUAGCUGGUCUGAGAGGAUGGCCAGCCACACUGGAACUGAGACACGGUCCAGACUCCUACGGGAGGCAGCAGUGGGGAAUCUUGCGCAAUGGGCGAAAGCCUGACGCAGCGACGCCGCGUGGGGGAUGAAGCAUCUCGGUGUGUAAACCCCUUUCGACUGGGACGAAUGCCUCGCAAGAGGAGUGACGGUACCAGUAGAAGAAGCCCCGGCUAACUACGUGCCAGCAGCCGCGGUAAGACGUAGGGGGCCAGCGUUGUUCGGAAUUACUGGGUGUAAAGGGUUCGUAGGCGGUGCGGCAAGUUGGGAGUGAAAUCUCUGGGCUUAACCCAGAGGCUGCUUCCAAAACUGCUGUGCUUGAGUGUGGGAGAGGCGCGUGGAAUUGCAGGUGUAGCGGUGAAAUGCGUAGAUAUCUGCAGGAACACCCGUGGCGAAAGCGGCGCGCUGGACCACAACUGACGCUGAGGAACGAAAGCUAGGGGAGCAAACAGGAUUAGAUACCCUGGUAGUCCUAGCCCUAAACGAUCAGGACUUGGGGUGCCGCCCGUUCGGGCGUCGUCCCGGAGCUAACGCGUUAAGUCCUGCACCUGGGGAGUACGGUCGCAAGACUGAAACUCAAAGGAAUUGACGG
rnacentral:rRNA from 1 species